GCGGUUUACUUGGAAACUACAAUGAGAACCAUGCUGCAGCCCCAAGUGGGGAAGGGGAGAAGCAACCUAAUCCGGGGAAGGCUGUGAUUCCAACAUGGCAUUUUCCUUCCAUCCUCCACAGCAUGUCUUUCUGAAUCUGUGUCUGCAAUGCCAGGGAAGAGCCAUCAGGCCUGUGCUCCCCAAAACAGAGCUGAAGAGUGGACCUCAGGAACCUGGUAAAGAUUUAGAAUGAGAGAAAAAAACUAUAGAACUAUGAAUUCAGACUGACUCUAGGGUAAAAAAAAUGAGUUUGUAUGGUAGAUUUGCACUGUGCAAAUUUAGCUAAGCAGGAGCUAUGUUUCCCAGGAUCCCUGUCUCUGCAUAAUUUCAGGUUAGCGUGGGCCACCAGAAACACACAUGAUGGGAUUUGGAAGGCUGAAGUUAAGCGUCAAUCACAUUCCUUUAAAGCACUGAAGAUCGGUGCAGGCAAAAGUGCAGAGCACAGGCACCACUGCAGCUCACCAAGUGAUUUCUGCUCUCUGGCUCACAUUAUUGACAUUGAGCAGAAGCCGGGCAUGCAGCUUCAUCAGCUCUCACCAGAUUUGCUUCCUUCAGUUUCUCCAGCUCCUGGGUCAGUUACAUGUUUAGCAACAUGAUGAAGCAAAGCAGUUUCUCUUGCAGGUCACUGGCAUCAUUGAAUUUGGAGGCUUCAAGACAGAGGCUGAAAAACAGUUUGCCUCUGUGAUUUCCAGCCUGUCCCCCUGAAUUCCAAUUUAUCAUUUCUCUCCAACAUUUCAUGUCUGUCUUUCCUUCUCGAUGUCCUGCUCUGCUAACUUCAGUCUCCAAUGCAAGACAUAGAAGCAACAGCCACACAUAAACUGUUUAGUCAGCUCCCAUAAUUGGGAAAAGUAAAAUAUUUGCAAUAAACAAUUGAUUCUACAUCACUUCCUGUGGUUCUGUUUCUCUGGGCAAACCCAACUUGAUACCAUCUGAAUAGUAGAAGUGAACCCACCAAUGUUCUUUGUGCUGGAAUUGACCUGGUUGUUAACCUAACUGGAUGAUUUGAUAGAGGCAAGAUAGAACAAUUGAGAUUUCUGACAAAGUUGUCAGGGAAAUAUAAUUGUAAAAUUGAAGAAUGGAACAGGAGCAGAUGGCAAUAAAUACCCAUGCUGAAGCAAUGAAAAUGACAGUUGGAAACCUUGAGAAUUCUGAAUUAAAUGUUUGGAGGAAGGUCAUGCUGAUGCAAGAGAUUGGUUUCC
rnacentral:lncRNA from 1 species